ACAAAAACCCGACCCGAGCAAGAGAGGAAGAGCGGAAUUUGUAGAAAGCCUGAGCAAAGGAGAGAACCCAAACUAGCAGAAAACCCAAGCAAGAGAUCUCAGACAAAAACAACACACAGUAAUGAAAAUCCCCAAAUCAAUUUAUAAAAAGAAGAAGAAAUCAAUGGGGGGAAAGGAGCCCGAAACCAGAUCAAGGAGCCCUACGAUCGGUGUAGAGAGGAGAAGGGAGAACG
rnacentral:lncRNA from 1 species